UAUACAACAUCCUCGCAUGAUUGUGUGUGAGGUGCCUUAGAAAAGGUUAGAUAAUUAACCCACUGUCUUUCAAAGACAGAAGCCUACUGCAUCAUCUUAAAAGUAUUUUCCAACUUGCAGGUGCUGUGGUGGUAAGUACAUGGAGAAAUCGGUGCUCAUAAAUAAUACGCCAAAUUAGAGACCAAUUUGGCAGUACCUAGGUGUACGCAUCCUCUCCAGAGAAACGCGCCCAGGGGCCCAGGGUGAAGCUCGUGCUGCCACCACGUAAGUUCUGGACCUUCUGUAUGCAGUAGUUCCUGGCUGGGACUUGCUGAACUGAGCCAACUGCGUCUAAAGUCACUGAGCCUCGCCUUAGCCGAAGCUUUACGGGAGUGGGGACUCUUACCCACCGCCUUCCCUGCACCUCACCACCUCACCGAGAACAGGCAAUGCUGAAUGAACGUGCUGCUUAAAUCCCCGUAACAACCAUGGGAGGAAGGUACUGCUAUCAUCCUCGUUCUACAGAUAAGGAAACUGAGGCAGAAAGGGUGAGAAGCAGAACCAAGAUUCAAGUGUCACGUAUAUGAGGGUUUCACUGAACUAUUCUUUCAACUUUGUGGGGGCAGGAAGGGGAUCUAGAGGCUACUCCAGAAGGUAAGAACAGCACUUCUCUGUCUCAGUGGGGAAGAUGGGAAACGCGGGGAGGGGAGCAUUCAUUACUUGCCUUUCAUAUCUUUUGAAGAUUGAACCUUAUGAAUGUUAUCUAUUCACAAAGUAAGUGAGUAUUCAAAAUAAUAAAAAUAAGUGAAAUAUCAACAACCCUGAUGUCCUUCAACAGGUGAAUGGUUAAAUAAACUUUGGUACAUACAUACAUACCAUGGAAUACCGGCCAGCCAUACAAGAGCGAAUGACGGAUACACACAACCACCUGGAUGACUCUCCGAAGGAAAAAAGCUGACACCAAAAGGUUAAGAACAUCUGGCCGGUGCUGCUAACCAGCUCAUCAUGUAGUGCCCUGGACAAUGAGGACUCAGCCAUGAGAAGACCUGGAGAGAGAUCUGCGGUAAGAGGUCCAGGCAGGGGAGCCAGCAACGGAGAAGGGGAACAAAAUGCUUAUGCUGGAAAAACAGAAAGGAGACCAGCGUCGCUGGAGCACAGUGACAGGAACAGAAUGCCAAAGAUGAAAAGAACAGAUCCAGGCCAGAUCAUCUAAGGCCUUACAGACCAUACAAAGAACCUUAUUUUCAAAUGAAGCUCCACUCUUUGAAAGGAUUCAAGGUUAUUCACACUGUACACAAGAACAAAGCCAUCAGCAAAUGAAAAAUAAUGCUUCGGCAGCUCCACGCCUUCCUGUAGGCCUCUGGUGUCAUAGAGAUGUAACUGUUCCU